GACGAACGCUGGCGGCGUGCUUAGCACAUGCAAGUCGAACGAUGAAGCCGGAGCUUGCUCUGGUGAAUUAGUGGCGAACGGGUGAGUAACACGUGAGUAACCUGCCCUUGACUCUGGGAUAACUGCUAGAAAUGGUAGCUAAUACCGGAUACGACCCUCGGAGGCAUCUCCAGGGGGUGGAAAGAAUUUCGGUCAAGGAUGGACUCGCGGCCUAUCAGCUAGUUGGUGAGGUAAUGGCUCCCCAAGGCGACGACGGGUAGCCGGCCUGAGAGGGUGACCGGCCACACUGGGACUGAGACACGGCCCAGACUCCUACGGGAGGCAGCAGUGGGGAAUAUUGCACAAUGGGCGCAAGCCUGAUGCAGCAACGCCGCGUGAGGGAUGACGGCCUUCGGGUUGUAAACCUCUUUUAGUAGGGAAGAAGCGAAAGUGACGGUACCUGCAGAAAAAGCACCGGCUAACUACGUGCCAGCAGCCGCAGUAA
rnacentral:rRNA from 1 species